CUCCCUAGUAAUUGUCCAUAAGGAAUUGUUGAAACUCCGAAAGUAAAAGCUUCCACCUGUCGCCAAGAAGCCAGUGGAGGGUCUCUUGUCUCGACACCCUGUUUUUAUUCCCAUUUGUGUUAUCCAUGAGCCGCGGUGUCUUAACUCUCUCUUUAAAUGGACUUAAGGGGUGCCACUUGGCCCGAAAUUCAAAUUGCGGUUCUUUUUUUUCCCCUUUAUGACGAUCAUCAGAAACGAGCACCUCGAUAUCCGGAGUCGAAUCUCAACCUUACGCGGCGUUUCGCCAAGUCGUUCAACACCUAUGAUCCUUGCUCCGAGUACGACAACUCCAGUCCGGGUGUCAUCAGGGAUACAGAGACCAAAUGCAAUCGCGCAUUCGAGCUCCUGGGCAGCCUUCCACCGGGCGAUCUCCCUCUCCAUUGCCUGCCGUCCCAGAGGACCCAAAGUCCCUCUUGCCGCGACUUUCGAGGUCAAAAGAGAUGCAUGAUCACGGCCAAACACACGAUCGUCGCUCGACAGGUGGGACCACAACUUAUUCAGACCCAAGAACUGGUGAAGCCAGUGCUGCUGAGUGCCUGCGCUGAAACGGUCGGAGUUGAUGUUACAGCCUCCGCAGACAUACACGCCAUGGAAGACCUUUUCAGUAAUCGGCCUCGUACGGGGGAUGUGUGGACGACUUCAGAAUUUACGCGCACGGUGACGAUGACGAAAGAUCCUGACGCUUCUGGAGAGAACCCCUUUCUCCCAGGCUCCGAUACGAACGAUCCCCCAACACCGAAUCGCCGAAAAGAUCUUCAUCCAGAUCACCAAUAUCGUCACCGAGAUCAUUCAAACGAAACUAAGGAACAGAAAUGGCUUUUAGGACCACAUCACCAAUGGAGACUCUGGAUCAUCGAACUUUUUCCUCUCUGUUUCUACGAUUGAUUUGGCACGCGAUUAAAAUGCUCAUUGCGUAUCAAUCAUCAUACGCGACACCGAGUAAAAAGAAUAAAUUAUAUAUAUUUGAUUGACGCAGUAAAACGCAUUGGGACUCAUUUAUUUCACUCCUUCUGCCGUGCCGCGGAAAAACACCGUAUGCCCAGAUAAGACAUAAUAUUUUUACAAUAUUGGGCAAAUAUUGUCAGUAUUGUCGCAAUAUUUGCACAAUACUGACAAUAUUUUGAUAAUAUUUUAAUCAAAAUUAUUUUUUUUAAAAUAUUUAAAGAAUCUUUAUUUAGUAUUUUUAAAAAUAAUAUUUUUACCCAAAAUAUUAU
rnacentral:lncRNA from 1 species